rnacentral:lncRNA from 1 species
UAAAAGUUUUCCCUAUAUCCCUAAAAGUUUCCUCUCUAAAGAUUUACAACAUCUCUUCCACACGGAUUCUACCUGUUAUAAUCUGCUCUAAAGAUGGAAUCCUUGCAAUAAUCGAACAAGGUAAGCAAUUCCUUAAGCACAACUAUUAUGAAUUGGACAAAACAAUAGUUAAGCUCAAACCCUCUUAUCCCCAUCAAUCUAUUCAUUUGCAGCAAAACCCAAGUCCGUAAACUAUCCCAAAGUCUCAUUCUCGGUAUUUGCAGCCAAAGCCAAUAAAAUAUCCACCUUUCGAUUCUUAGCUCAACUCUUAUCGUAAAGAAGAAGUUCGUGUCACCAAAAAAGACAAGACUCAAUUCACAGUUGUUUAUCAGAGACAAAUCCUCAUUUGACAUCUUCUAGUCUGAAAUCCAAAACUAGAGGUAAGGUAGAAACAUGAUUCUCUUCUUUCUAUUUUGCUUUACGAAGUUGUCUUUGUUAUGAUUUCAAGUUUUGUACUUUUUCUCGGCAACCAAACAAAGGGUAACUUUAAAAAGACGGG